rnacentral:tRNA from 1 species
UCCUCGAUAGUAUAGUAGUGAGUAUCUCCGCCCGUCACGCGGGAGACCGGGGUUCGAUUCCCCGUCGGCGAG